AACAAACGCUGGCGGCGUGCCUAAUACAUGCAAGUCGAACGGGGUAGCAAUACCUAGUGGCGCACGGGUGAGUAACGCGUGGAUAAUCUGCCUUAGAGUGGGGGAUAACUAGUCGAAAGAUUAGCUAAUACCGCAUAAGACCACAAGAACUGCGGUUCAAGGGGUCAAAGGUUUUUCGCUCUAAGAUGAGUCCGCGUAAGAUUAGCUAGUUGGUGAGGUAAUGGCUCACCAAGGCGACGAUCUUUAACUGGUCUGAGAGGACGAUCAGUCACACUGUAACUGAGACACGGUCCAGACUCCUACGGGAGGCAGCAGUAGGGAAUAUUGCACAAUGGAGGAAACUCUGAUGCAGCGACGCCGCGUGAGUGAUGAAGGCCUUCGGGUCGUAAAGCUCUGUCGCAGGGGAAUAACACAAUGAAUGUACCCUGUAAGAAAGGAUCGGCUUACUUCGUGCCAGCAGCCGCCGUAAAAC
rnacentral:rRNA from 1 species